AGGACACAACAGCUGUUACUGUCUGACAAGCAGAUUGGUACUAAAGUUACUUGGAACUACAAACAAAGAAAGCACGUAGAAAUGCUUCCAGGGCCCUGCUAAAACUGAAGGAAUUUGUCAUGCUUUGGUAAUCAGGUCUGUAAUUUCCCUAAUAAUGUCCCAGGAAGUCAUGGAAAGAAUUGUAUUUACAAUUUCAUUCUGAUAAAGGCUGUAACAAUAUGAAGUUUUCACUGCAUGAUUAUUGUGGUCAAACAAAUUCACAUCUCAAAUUGACAUGAUAAUUAGUUGUACAUUAAUAUGUGAUUCUGAACACAGCCUAUGCCUUGGACGGACGAGAUGACAUGGCAGGUGACGGGACACAGGUGAUGUGAAACCCAGAGGUGAUUGUUUGAAGACAAACCAAUAAUGUUUUGCUGAAACUACAGACAAUCUCCUCUUUUCAAAACCAUUUCUGUGAGGAUGGGCCAGAGCUAGCUGGUUAGCAUGCUAACUCCAGUCAACAUCUCUGCAACACACAGGGCACCAGUUGAAAGACCUUGGGACAAUUUCCAGCCAUGUAUGGUGUGACAGAAAUUGGAUAUUUUGGAUGAGAACUCAGUCCAUCUCCAGCGGUGUGGCAUCCAAAACAGCUGUUUUACACCAAAACAUGAUUGUCCUAACCAUAACCAAGUUUUUUUGUGUCUACACCGAUCCACACAAAAAGUGCAGGGCUAUUGCUCCAUAAAACAGAAAAGAAAAAAAAGACGUUGCAACAUAAAGAAAUGUAAGGCUUAACAUAUCUGUAGUUUGCAAAAUCAUACAGUACAUUGGCACCAUUAAUUCUGGGAACUGGGUUUACUGAUGAGUCAGAGUAGGAUUUCAGCUCAGCAGCUACAGUAGACUGUUAAUCUCAGCAAUGACAGCAAUGUCACACUGCCUUCUUCGCUUACUAUUCUUGUUUUGUGGGUACAAUAGGUGGGGUGGGGGUGUGUUUUAAUAGCCAUCAGCUGUCCCAGUGUCCCUGUCACUCUGCGCUCUGUCUCGCCUUAGUACUUCCAUUGUUUCUGUGUCACACAAGUUACAGGAAAACACACUAUUGUUGUUGUGUUUUCUCAUUAUUUUUGAUAUCUUUUAUUCAUUUAAUUAUUAUAAAAAGGCUGUUUCAAUGUAUUUUCUCAAAAAUUGUUUCAAAGUUGUCUUCACACUGAUGAUUUAAUAUUGUUGUGGAUACAUACUUAAUAAAUACUUUACAAAAAUGUACCACUCCAUUGUCAUUGUUUUACAGCACUCAUAUCCACCACACAAAAAACAAAGGAUAUGUCAAGAUCACUAAAUCUUGUUGUAUUGCAUGUACUGCACAGACCUCCAAACUUUAUCAAGCAUGCUCUUAUAAUUUCAUGCAACACAGUGUGUUGUUUUUGUAUGUUUCUACCUUUUUAUUGUUGCUGAAGCACAACAAACAAGGACCUGAUCUGUACCUAUUAGUUGCUUUAGAAAUCAAUGUAAAUUCAUUCAGACAGAGAAAAACAGCAGAGUAUCAUACUUGGUUGA